rnacentral:rRNA from 1 species
GAGCCGGAGGGAAACCGAGUCUUAACCGGGCGUUAAGUUGCAGGGUAUAGACCCGAAACCCGGUGAUCUAGCCAUGGGCAGGUUGAAGGUUGGGUAACACUAACUGGAGGACCGAACCGACUAAUGUUGAAAAAUUAGCGGAUGACCUGUGGCUGGGGGUGAAAGGCCAAUCAAACCGGGAGAUAGCUGGUUCUCCCCGAAAGCUAUUUAGGUAGCGCCUCGUGAAUUCAUCUCCGGGGGUAGAGCACUGUUUCGGCUAGGGGGCCAUCCCGGCUUACCAACCCGAUGCAAACUGCGAAUACCGGAGAAUGUUAUCACGGGAGACACACGGCGGGUGCUAACGUCCGUCGUGAAGAGGGAAACAACCCAGACCGCCAGCUAAGGUCCCAAAGUCAUGGUUAAGUGGGAAACGAUGUGGGAAGGCCCAGACAGCCAGGAUGUUGGCUUAGAAGCAGCCAUCAUUUAAAGAAAGCGUAAUAGCUCACUGGUCGAGUCGGCCUGCGCGGAAGAUGUAACGGGGCUAAACCAUGCACCGAAGCUGCGGCAGCGACACUCAGGUGUUGUUGGGUAGGGGAGCGUUCUGUAAGCCUG